GGAGAAAGACGGGCCAGAACCAGUAUGAGACUACAAGUCCCAGAGGGCCAUGCGCCGGGUUCCGGGAGGAGCGUCAGGAGGAUCUGGCUUUCGGGAUUGACGACGGUCCAGAUCCCAGGUUUUCAAACUCAGCGCCAGUAGGUGUUUCUCAUGUUUGUGUGACAUUUUAGAGGUUACAGCGUCCUUACAACAAUCACUUCACUAGGUCCUGGCAAAAACUUUAUGAGUGUGACUUUGCAGCUUCUCACAUCAAGAGAUGGAAUCUAUGUCUUCAGCCUCCUGGCCUUCUUACCUGAUUUGAUGGAAAGAAUGCAGAAGUGAUGUGCCAGUUCCGAGCCUAGGUCUCAAAAAUAUUUGCAAGUGUCUGCUGUAGUUCUUGGAACUUUGACAGUCUACCACAGAAACAAACCAAGGAUAGCUUGCUGGAUAAUGAAAGAAACCUGGCCCCCGUGCCUCAAACAACAACCAGUCAAACCCUAGUAGUCUGUUCUCUCCUAGGAACAGAGCUACUAAGCUGAUUUGCAGCUGACCAGAGACGAGUGAACCCAGUCAAGACCAGAAGGACCACUCAGCCAAGCUCAGCCAAAAUAGAAUCAUGAGUUAAAUAAAUUUGAAAUGUUUUGUUAUGCAGCAAAAGCUAA